CCCCUGAGGCAGACACUAAAAUGGCACCCUGCCUCCCCACCAAGAAAGGAGGAGUGAGGAAAAGAUCUACACCAGGAGCAAGCAGAGAGCCAGUGUGGCUGGAAGAGUGGCAUACGCAACUGUUGGACUACAUGGAAUUGGCUGAAAUGACUGGCAGAAUCCGAGACCUGGGAGAAGAGGCAGUGGAAGAGGACUGGAAAAAAUUUAAGGACUAUUUACAAAAACAUUAUAAGUUAUAUGAAUGUUGAGAAUUUGCUAAGUUUUGAGAAAAACAUGCUUCGGUAUUGAGAUUCGGAAAUGAUUGAAAUUAAGUUAUGAUUGAGAAAAGUUUAAAUUUUAGAGUAAAUAAUUAGAUGAAAGUACAAAAACACAUGAAACAAGGUAUUAAUUUGCUGUUCACUUUUAUUGUAAAGAAUGCAGGGAUGGAGGAUGUGGGGAAGUCCAGUAGAUGAUGAAAAAAGAUUUGGAAAAAUGAAUUUUCUUAUAUUUAAUUUUUUCUUUCUUCUUGUAAAACAGCUUUUGUUGUGUCAUGGACGAUGUAUUCUGACCUUGGAAAAUAAAGCAAUAAAUUUUUUUUUAAAAAAAAAAAUAUAAAGAGAGCCAGUGUGGUGUAGUGGUUAAGAGUGAUAGACUUGUAAUCUGGGGAACCGGGUUUGCGUCUCCGCUCCUCCACAUGCAGCUGCUGGGUGACCUUGGGCCAGUCACACUUCUCUGAAGUCUCUCAGCCCCACUUACCUCACAGAGUGUUUGUUGUGGGGGAGGAAGGGAAAGGAGAAUGUUAGCCGCUUUGAGACUCCUUAGGGUAGUGAUAAAGCGGGAUAUCAAAUCCAAACUCUUCUUCUUUUUAUAAAAUAGCAAGAAAAUGAAUUGUCAGGAUGGGUGUGGGGACCCCCUAGUUUUGUCAGCAGCCUGGCUCAUCUCUGCCUCUUGGCCCUCCCUCCUCUCCUGCUUCAGCUUCUGCCUCUGAUUCUGGACUGCUUUCUGCCACAGCCUCUUCCUGCUCACUAAACCCUGUUGCCUCUUCAGCUUUUGACACCACCUCCUCUCACUCUGCUCCCUCUUCUCUCUCAUCGUCAUCCUAACACUUAUCUCCUAGCUGUGAGUCACUUCCCCCAGGGGUUCCCUUGGGGGUUCCCCAGCUGGUGCCCCCUACCACUCCUCUGCAUCCAGGUAGUCCAUGGCAUGACUUAACUAAUUGUAAUUCAUGCCAUCUAAAGCUAUGGAGAUCUACUGAGAAGUAAAGGAAGCUCCCUUGACCCAUUAAUGGUGCACAUUUUAUACACACUUACCUGAGGGAAUAAGUUCCAUUUGACUCAAUGGGACUUCUGAUAAGACAUAUAUAGGGUCAUACUUCAGGACCCCCCCUCCAUUUGUGUGAUAAUGUUAUACUGAACUACACAC
rnacentral:lncRNA from 1 species